rnacentral:rRNA from 1 species
UGGCGGACGGGUGAGUAACACGUGAGCAACCUGCCUAUCAGAGGGGGAUAACGAUUGGAAACGAUCGCUAAUACCGCAUGACAUAGCGGAAUCGCAUGGUUCUGUUAUCAAAGAUUUUAUCGCUGAUAGAUGGGCUCGCGUCCGAUUAGAUAGUUGGUGGGGUAACGGCCUACCAAGUCGACGAUCGGUAGCCGGACUGAGAGGUCGAACGGCCACAUUGGGACUGAGACACGGCCCAGACUCCUACGGGAGGCAGCAGUGGGGGAUAUUGCACAAUGGGGGAAACCCUGAUGCAGCGACGCCGCGUGAGGGAAGACGGUCCUCUGGAUUGUAAACCUCUGUCUUCGGGGACGAAACGAGACGGUACCCGAGGAGGAAGCCACGGCUAACUACGUGCCAGCAGCCGCGGUAAUACGUAGGUGGCAAGCGUUGUCCGGAAUUACUGGGUGUAAAGGGAGCGUAGGCGGGCAGGCAAGUCAGGCGUGAAAUAUAUCGGCUCAACCGGUAACGGCGCUUGAACUGCAGGUCUUGAGUGAAGUAGAGGUUGGCGGAAUUCCUAGUGUAGCGGUGAAAUGCGUA